CCUACUGCAGCGUGGAAUGGGGAAGUCCUGAAGCAUGUCUUACUCAGCGCCUUCUUGCUGCAUCAGAAGUUUUGCUCUCUGUGGAUACUGAGAACUGAUGGGUGCUGAGAUCUAACCUGUACACCUCCCACCGCGCGAAGCUGUCAGGCUUCUCUAUGUUACAGUAGAUGGCUGUCCCCUUCGCGGAGUUUAAAUAUUGUGGAGGAGAUUACAUCGACAUGAAGUCACUUCAGCCCAAAUUUACUACCCUGUCAUCAUUGAUAUCUUAUUGGGCAAGAGCACCCCUACACCCAGCACAAUGUUGAGUAGCAAUUGGAAGAGAAGACACCCUUUCUUUGUUUCUGAUCUUAGGGAAGAAGCAUUUAGGCUUUCACCAUUAAAGAUGGUAUGAGUUGCUAAAGAUGAUGGCAUACAUUGAUCAUGAAGACAUUAAGAGUGUCCUAGAAGUGCAGAGAGAUGCUUGACUCAACUACUCAUUGGAAGUCUUACUGAAGACAACCUAGUCACAAGAUUGAAGAAGCUCAGGGAUGCUUGGGUGACUCAGUUGGUUAAAUGUCUAUCUUCAGCUCAGAUUAUGAUCCUGGGGUCCUGAGAUUGAGCCCUGUAUUGGGCUUCCUGCUCAGUGGUGAGUCUGCUUCUCCCUCUGCC